rnacentral:rRNA from 1 species
GACGAACGCUGGCGGCGUGCCUAAUACAUGCAAGUCGAACGGUUUAGUUCCAAGAGGCUUGCCUUUUGGAACUAGACAGUGGCGGACGGGUGAGUAACACGUAGGCAACCUACCUGUCAAACCGGGAUAACCUCGGGAAACCGAAGCUAAACCCGGAUAAGCUCCUUUUUCGCAUGAAGGGGGAGUGAAAAGGUGCGACCUGAUGACAGAUGGGCCUGCGGCGCAUUAGCUAGUAGGUAGGGUAACGGCCUACCUAGGCGAUGAUGCGUAGCCGACCUGAGAGGGCGUACGGCCACACUGGGACUGAGAUACGGCCCAGACUCCUACGGGAGGCAGCAGUAGGGAAUCUUCGGCAAUGGGCGAAAGCCUGACCGAGCAACGCCGCGUGAGUGAGGAAGGCCUUCGGGUUGUAAAACUCUGUUGUUUGGGAAGAAGGGAAAGGGUAGGACCCUUUGGUGACGGGACCAACGAGAAAGCCCCGGCUAACUACGUG